GAUGAACGCUGGCGGCGUGCCUAAUUCAUGCAAGUCGAGCGAAUGGAUUGAGAGCUUGCUCUUAUGAAGUUAGCGGCGGACGGGUGAGUAACACGUGGGUAACCUGCCCAUAAGACUGGGAUAACUCCGGGAAACCGGGGCUAAUACCGGAUAACAUUUUGAACCGCAUGGUUCGAAAUUGAAAGGCGGCUUCGGCUGUCACUUAUGGAUGGACCCGCGUCGCAUUAGCUAGUUGGUGAGGUAACGGCUCACCAAGGCAACGAUGCGUAGCCGACCUGAGAGGGUGAUCGGCCACAAUGGGACUGAGACACGGCCCAGACGCCUACGGGAGGCAGCAGUAGGGCAUCUUCCGCAAUGGACGAAAGUCUGACGGAGCAACGCCGCGUGAGUGAUGAAGGCUUUCGGGUCGUAAAACUCUGUUGUUAGGGAAGAACAAGUGCUAGUUGAAUAAGCUGGCACCUUGACGGUACCUAACCAGAAAGCCACGGCUAACUACGUGCCAGCCGCCGCCGUAA
rnacentral:rRNA from 1 species